rnacentral:rRNA from 1 species
GAUGAACGAGGGAGGAGGGAGGAACACAUGCAAGUCGAACGGAAAGGCCUCUGCUUGCAGGGGUACUCGAGUGGCGAACGGGUGAGUAACACGUGGGUGAUCUGCCCUGCACUUCGGGAUAAGCCUGGGAAACUGGGUCUAAUACCGGAUAGGACAAUGGUUUGGAUGCUGUUGUGGAAAGUUUUUCGGUGUGGGAUGAGCUCGCGGCCUAUCAGCUUGUUGGUGGGGUAAUGGCCUACCAAGGCGUCGAUGGGUAGCCGGCCUGAGAGGGUGUACGGCCACAUUGGGACUGAGAUACGGCCCAGACUCCUACGGGAGGCAGCAGUGGGGAAUAUUGCACAAUGGGCGCAAGCCUGAUGCAGCGACGCCGCGUGGGGGAUGACGGCCUUCGGGUUGUAAACUCCUUUCGCUAGGGACGAAGCGUUUUUGUGACGGUACCUGGAGAAGAAGCACCGGCUUCCUACGUU